GCUUUUGUAUUAUAGGUUUUUGCUUAUGCACCAUGGUUGUCUGAGCAUACAGCAUGCUUGUCUGCUCAUACCCCAUGGCUCCUGAGCAGAAACCUUUAUUGCUUACUGCU
rnacentral:pre_miRNA from 1 species